rnacentral:rRNA from 1 species
CCUACGGGGGGCAGCAGUGAGGAAUAUUGGUCAAUGGGCGCGAGCCUGAACCAGCCAAGUAGCGUGAAGGAUGACUGCCCUACGGGUUGUAAACUUCUUUUAUAAAGGAAUAAAGUGAGGCACGUGUGUCUUUUUGUAUGUACUUUAUGAAUAAGGAUCGGCUAACUCCGUGCCAGCAGCCGCGGUAAUACGGAGGAUCCGAGCGUUAUCCGGAUUUAUUGGGUUUAAAGGGAGCGUAGAUGGGUUGUUAAGUCAGUUGUGAAAGUUUGCGGCUCAACCGUAAAAUUGCAAUUGAUAACGGGAGCCCUUAGGACAGGUUGAGGUAGGCGGAAUUGGUGGUGUAGCGGUGAAAUGUUUAGAUAUCACGAAGAACUCCAAUUGCGAAGGCAGCCUACUAAACGGCCACUGACAUUGAUGCUCGAAAGUGUGGGAAUCAAACAGGAUAGAUACCCUAGUAGUC